GCAGAAGUAGUUCAGCGGNNUCAGCGGUAGAAUACAACCUUGCCAAGGUUGGGGUCGCGGGUUCGAAUCCCGUCUUCUGCUCCA
rnacentral:tRNA from 1 species